AGGCCUUUGGGCUGUAAACCUCUUUUCUCAAGGAAGAAGAUCUGACGGUACUUGAGGAAUAAGCCACGGCUAAUUCCGUGCCAGCAGCCGCGGUAAUACGGGAGUGGCAAGCGUUAUCCGGAAUUAUUGGGCGUAAAGCGUCCGCAGGCGGCCGUUUAAGUCUGUUGUUAAAUCGUGGAGCUCAACUCCAUCACGGCAAUGGAAACUGUUCGGCUUGAGUAUGGUAGGGGCAGAGGGAACUUCCGGUGUAGCGGUGAAAUGCGUAGAUAUCGGAAAGAACACCAGUGGCGAAAGCGCUCUGCUGGGCCAUU
rnacentral:rRNA from 1 species